AUUGAACGCUGGCGGCAGGCCUAACACAUGCAAGUCGAGCGGUAGCACAGAGAGCUUGCUCUCGGGUGACGAGCGGCGGACGGGUGAGUAAUGUCUGGGAAACUGCCUGAUGGAGGGGGAUAACUACUGGAAACGGUAGCUAAUACCGCAUAACGUCGCAAGACCAAAGUGGGGGACCUUCGGGCCUCAUGCCAUCAGAUGUGCCCAGAUGGGAUUAGCUAGUAGGUGGGGUAAUGGCUCACCUAGGCGACGAUCCCUAGCUGGUCUGAGAGGAUGACCAGCCACACUGGAACUGAGACACGGUCCAGACUCCUACGGGAGGCAGCAGUGGGGAAUAUUGCACAAUGGGCGCAAGCCUGAUGCAGCCAUGCCGCGUGUGUGAAGAAGGCCUUCGGGUUGUAAAGCACUUUCAGCGGGGAGGAAGGCGAUAAGGUUAAUAACCUCAUCGAUUGACGUUACCCGCAGAAGAAGCACCGGCUAACUCCGUGCCAGUAGCCGCGGUAAUACGGAGGGUGCAAGCGUUAAUCGGAAUUACUGGGCGUAAAGCGCACGCAGGCGGUCUGUCAAGUCGGAUGUGAAAUCCCCGGGCUCAACCUGGGAACUGCAUUCGAAACUGGCAGGCUAGAGUCUUGUAGAGGGGGGUAGAAUUCCAGGUGUAGCGGUGAAAUGCGUAGAGAUCUGGAGGAAUACCGGUGGCGAAGGCGGCCCCCUGGACAAAGACUGACGCUCAGGUGCGAAAGCGUGGGGAGCAAACAGGAUUAGAUACCCUGGUAGUCCACGCCGUAAACGAUGUCGAUUUGGAGGUUGUGCCCUUGAGGCGUGGCUUCCGGAGCUAACGCGUUAAAUCGACCGCCUGGGGAGUACGGCCGCAAGGUUAAAACUCAAAUGAAUUGACGGGGGCCCGCACAAGCGGUGGAGCAUGUGGUUUAAUUCGAUGCAACGCGAAGAACCUUACCUGGUCUUGACAUCCACAGAACUUUCCAGAGAUGGAUUGGUGCCUUCGGGAACUGUGAGACAGGUGCUGCAUGGCUGUCGUCAGCUCGUGUUGUGAAAUGUUGGGUUAAGUCCCGCAACGAGCGCAACCCUUAUCCUUUGUUGCCAGCGGUCCGGCCGGGAACUCAAAGGAGACUGCCAGUGAUAAACUGGAGGAAGGUGGGGAUGACGUCAAGUCAUCAUGGCCCUUACGACCAGGGCUACACACGUGCUACAAUGGCAUAUACAAAGAGAAGCGACCUCGCGAGAGCAAGCGGACCUCAUAAAGUAUGUCGUAGUCCGGAUUGGAGUCUGCAACUCGACUCCAUGAAGUCGGAAUCGCUAGUAAUCGUAGAUCAGAAUGCUACGGUGAAUACGUUCCCGGGCCU
rnacentral:rRNA from 1 species